rnacentral:rRNA from 1 species
UACGUAGGGGGCAAGCGUUGUCCGGAUUUACUGGGCGUAAAGAGCGUGUAGGCGGCCAAGCAGGUCCGUUGUGAAAACUGGAGGCUUAACCUCCAGACGUCGACGGAAACCGCGUGGCUAGAGUCCGGAAGAGGAGAGUGGAAUUCCUGGUGUAGCGGUGAAAUGCGCGGAUAUCAGGAAGAACACCAAUGGCGAAGGCAGCUCUCUGGGACGGUACUGACGCUGAGACGCGAAAGCGUGGGGAGCGAACAGG